GACGAACGCUGGCGGCGUGCUUAACACAUGCAAGUCGAACGGAAAGGCCCUGCUUUUGUGGGGUGCUCGAGUGGCGAACGGGUGAGUAACACGUGAGUAACCUGCCCUUGACUUUGGGAUAACUUCAGGAAACUGGGGCUAAUACCGGAUAGGAGCUCCUGCUGCAUGGUGGGGGUUGGAAAGUUUCGGCGGUUGGGGAUGGACUCGCGGCUUAUCAGCUUGUUGGUGGGGUAGUGGCUUACCAAGGCUUUGACGGGUAGCCGGCCUGAGAGGGUGACCGGCCAAAUGGGGACGGGGAUACGGCCCAGACUCCUAGGGGAGGCAGCGGGGGGGAAUAUUGCACAAGGGGCGGAAGCCUGAUGCAGCAACGCCGGGGGGGGGAGGGCGGCCUUCGGGUUGUAAACCGCUUUCGCCUGGGACGAAGCGUGAGUGACGGUAAUGGGUAAAGAAGCCCCGGCUAACUACGU
rnacentral:rRNA from 1 species